CGGGCGUCUUAACAUGCAAGUCGAACGAGAGCGACCGGUGCUUGCACUGGUCAAUCUAGUGGCGAACGGGUGAGUAACACGUGGGUAACCUGCCCAUCAGAGGGGGAUAACAUCCGGAAACGGAUGCUAAAACCGCAUAGGUCUUCGAGCCGCAUGGCUUGAAGAGGAAAAGAGGCGCAAGUUUCUGCUGAUGGAUGGACCCGCGGUGCAUUAGCUAGUUGGUGAGGUAACGGCUCACCAAGGCCGUGAUGCAUAGCCGACCUGAGAGGGUGAUCGGCCACAUUGGGACUGAGACACGGCCCAAACUCCUACGGGAGGCAGCAGUAGGGAAUCUUCCGCAAUGGACGCAAGUCUGACGGAGCAACGCCGCGUGAGUGAAGUAGGUUUUCGGAUCGUAAAACUCUGUUGU
rnacentral:rRNA from 1 species